rnacentral:rRNA from 1 species
AUGAACGCUGGCGGCGUGCUUUACACAUGCAAGUCGAGCGAGGCGGCCCGCAAGGGUCAGUCGAGCGGCGAACGGGUGAGUAACGCGUGGAUAACCUGCCCAGAGGUGGGGGAUAACCCGGGGAAACUCGGGCUAAUACCGCAUGAUACCGAGAGGUCAAAGGCGGCUCGCAAGGGCUGUCGCCAUUGGAGGGGUCCGCGUCCGAUUAGCUAGUUGGUGAGGUAAUGGCUCACCAAGGCGAUGAUCGGUAGCUGGUCUGAGAGGAUGAUCAGCCACACUGGAACUGAAACACGGUCCAGACUCCUACGGGAGGCAGCAGUGGGGAAUCUUGCGCAAUGGACGAAAGUCUGACGCAGCCACGCCGCGUGAGUGAAGAAGGCCUUCGGGUUGUAAAGCUCUGUCGGGCGGGACGAAAACUUCAUAGGUGAAUAGCCUAUGGAAUUGACGGUACCGCCAAAGGAAGCACCGGCUAACUUCGUGCCAGCAGCCGCGGUAAUACGAGGGGUGCAAGCGUUGCUCGGAAUUAUUGGGCGUAAAGGGUAGGUAGGUGGUCUCGUUUGUCUGGGGUGAAAGCCUUGAGCUUAACUCAAGAAGUGCCCUAGAAACGGCGAGACUGGAGUCUUGGAGAGGGUCGUGGAAUUCCCGGUGUAGCGGUGAAAUGCGUAGAGAUCGGGAGGAACACCAGAGGCGAAGGCGGCGACCUGGACAAGUACUGACACUCAACUACGAAAGCGUGGGGAGCAAACAGGAUUAGAUACCCUGGUAGUCCACGCCGUAAACGAUGGGUACUAGAUUUGGUGGGUCUUGACCCCCGCCGAAUCGGAGCUAACGCACUAAGUACCCCGCCUGGGAAGUACGGUCGCAAGACUAAAACUCAAAGGAAUUGACGGGGGCCCGCACAAGCGGUGGAUCAUGUGGUUUAAUUCGAAGCAACGCGAAGAACCUUACCUGGAUUUGACAUCCUCUGACAGCUGUAGAGAUACAGUUUUCGUAGCAAUACGACAGAGAGACAGGUGCUGCAUGGCUGUCGUCAGCUCGUGUGGUGACAUGUUGGGUUAAGUCCCGCAACGAGCGCAACCCUUGUCCUUAGUUGCCAGCAUUUAGUUGGGCUCUCUAAGGAGACUGCCGUGGUGAACACGGAGGAAGGUGGGGAUGACGUCAAGUCCUCAUGGCCUUUAUAUCCAGGGCGACACACGUGAUACAAUGGAUGGUACAGAGGGAAGCCAAAGCGCAAGCUGGAGCCAAUCUCAAAAAGCCAUUCUCAGUUCGGAUUGGAGUCUGCAACUCGACUCCAUGAAGUUGGAAUCGCUAGUAAUCGCGGAUCAGCACGCCGCGGUGAAUACGUUCCCGGGCCUUGUACACACCGCCCGUCACACCAUGGGAGCUGACUCAACCAGAAGACGGUCAGGCUAACCGCAAGGAAGCCUCCGGCGAAGGUGGGGUCGGUGACUGGGGUG